AUUUGCAUCCAUGCGUAUUUUGAUCUGUGUGCCAACAUUAGUCAACAAGUCCAAUAGAGAGAACUUCGAGCAAGGACAACCCAGCAUUUCUCUCCUUCAGUUCUUCACAAGACUCCCUUGACUGCUCAAGUUGGACUCGUUCCGUCUCAGAACGUCCCUCUUUAGCGUCUGGAAGCUGUGAGGAUAUCGGUGGUGAUUUGUUUGAAUCAACAACACCUACCUCACAGAAUCAACAAUACUGGAGAGACGUGGAGGAUUUAAGUCACUGGCAUUGUGAGUUCAGAGGUCAAAUUCGGGCGCUGAGGCAAUGGCUGAUGUGCAUGGAGAUGAAGCUGCCACCUUUUAACUCCAUGGUCAGUUUUUAUCUUCCAAUUUUUUAUUUUUUUU